rnacentral:rRNA from 1 species
UACGUAGGGUGCAAGCGUUGUCCGGAAUUAUUGGGCGUAAAGAGCUCGUAGGCGGUCUGUUACGUCGGCUGUGAAAACCUGGGGCUCAACUCCGGGCCUGCAGCCGAUACGGGCAGACUAGAAUUCGGUAGGGGAGACUGGAAUUCCUGGUGUAGCGGUGAAAUGCGCAGAUAUCAGGAGGAACACCAGUGGCGAAGGCGAGUCCCUGGACAACUCCUGACACUGAGGCACGAAAGCUAGGGGAGCAAACAGG